AUUGAACGCUGGCGGCGUGCUUAACACAUGCAAGUCGAACGGGCCCGCUCUUUUUUGGGGGCGGGUUGAGUGGCGAACAGGUGAGUAUCAAGUGAGCAACGUGCCCUCCUCUCCUGGAUGACC
rnacentral:rRNA from 1 species